AUUCCAGCUCCAAUAGCGUAUAUUAAGGUUGUUGCGGUAAAAAAGCUCGUAGUUGGAUUUCUGUUGCGAAUGGCCGGUCUUCACUACGUGAAUGUAUCUGGUUCAAUCGUGGCAUCCUCAUAGGAAACGUUGCUGCGCUUCACUGCGUGGUGCGGUGCCUAUGACUUUUACUUUGAGGAAAUUAGAGUGUUCACGGCAGGCAAUCGCCCUGAAUAUGUUAGCAUGGAAUAAUAAUAUAGGAUCUUGGUUCUAUUUUGUUGGUUUCUAGAGCUAAGAUAAUGGUUAAUAGGAACAAUUGGGGCAUUUGUAUUAACAUGUCAGAGGUGGAAUUCUUGGAUUAUGUUACGACAAACUACUGCGAAAGCAUUUGCCAAGGAUGUUUUCAUUA
rnacentral:rRNA from 1 species